AGCAGCCGCGGUAAUUCCAGCUCCAAUAGCGUAUAUUAAAGUUGUUGCAGUUAAAAAGCUCGUAGUUGAACUUCAGGCCUGGCUGGACGGUCCGCCCUCUGGGUGAGCACUGUCUGUGGUCGGGUCCUACCUUCUGGCGAAGCGGCAUGGCCUUAACCGGCCGUGGCGGGGAACCAGGACUUUUACUGUGAAAAAAUUAGAGUGUUCAAAGCAGGCACGCGCUUGAAUACAUUAGCAUGGAAUAAUGGAAUAGGACAAUGGUUCUAUUUGUUGGUUUCUAGGACCGUUGUAAUGAUUAAUAGGGAUAGUUGGGGGCAUUAGUAUUCAAUUGUCAGAGGUGAAAUUCUUGGAUUUAUUGAAGACUAACUACUGCGAAAGCAUUUGCCAAGGAUGUUUUCAUUAAUCAAGAACGAAAGUUAGGGAUCGAAGACGAUCAGAUACCGUCGUAGUCUUAACCAUAAACCUAUGACCGACUAGGGAUCGGAUGAUGUUAAUUUUUAUGUACUCAUUCGGCGCCUUA
rnacentral:rRNA from 1 species